rnacentral:rRNA from 1 species
GAUGAACGCUGGCGGCGUGCCUAAUACAUGCAAGUCGAGCGAACAGACGAGGAUCUUGCUCCUCUGACGUUAGCGGCGGACGGGUGAGUAACACGUGGAUAACCUACCUAUAAGACUGGGAUAACUUCGGGAAACCGGAGCUAAUACCGGAUAAUAUAUUGAACCGCAUGGUUCAAUAGUGAAAGACGGUUUUGCUGUCACUUAUAGAUGGAUCCGCGCCGCAUUAGCUAGUUGGUAAGGUAACGGCUUACCAAGGCAACGAUGCGUAGCCGACCUGAGAGGGUGACCGGCCACCCUGGAGCUGAGACACGGUCCAGACUCCUACGGGAGGCAGCAGUAGGGAAUCUUCCGCAAUGGGCGAAAGCCUGACGGAGCAACGCCGCGUGAGUGAUGAAGGUCUUCGGAUCGUAAAACUCUGUUAUUAGGGAAGAACAAAUGUGUAAGUAACGAUGCACGUCUUGACGGUACCUAAUCAGAAAGCCACGGCUAACUACGUG